rnacentral:rRNA from 1 species
UCAGUAACACGUGGGUAACCUACUCUCAGGUCAGGAAUAACUCCGGGAAACUGGAGCUAAUACCUGGCAGAUACAGAAUUCUGGAAUGAGUUUGUAUUGAAAGCUCCGGCGCCUGAGAAUGGGCUCGCGGCUGAUUAGGUUGUUGGUGGGGUAAAGGCCCACCAAGCCUGUGAUCGGUACGGGCAGUGAGAGCUGGAGCCCGGAGAUGGGGACUGAGACAAGGCCCCAGGCCCUACGGGGCGCAGCAGGUGCGAAAACUCGCCAAUGCUCGAAAGAGUGAGCGGGGAACCCCAAGUGCCCUUGUAUUGCAAGGGCUUUUCUCUGGUGUAAGGAGCCAGGGGAAUAAGGGCUGGGUAAGACUGGUGCCAGCCGCCGCGGUAACACCAGCAGCCCAAGUGGUCGCCGUUUUUAUUGGGCCUAAAGCGUCCGUAGCCGGAUAGAUAAGUCUCUAGGUAAAUCUUACGUUUAAGCGUAAGGCUUCUGGAGAUACUGUCUGUCUUGAGGCCGGGAGAGGUUGGAGGUACUCCCGGGGUAGGGGUAAAAUCCUGUAAUCCUGGGGGGACCACCGGUGGCGAAGGCGUCCAACUGGAACGGGCCUGACGGUGAGGGACGAAACCCAGGGGAGCGAGCCGGAUUAGAUACCCGGGUAGUCCUGGGCGUAAAUGAUGCGGACUAGGUGUGGGGAUAUCCACGAGAUAUCUCUGUGCCGAAGGGAAGCCAUUAAGUCCGCCGCCUGGGGAGUACGGCCGCAAGGCUGAAACUUAA